rnacentral:lncRNA from 1 species
GCUUGUUUUUUUCCUCCUCUUUUUUGAAUAUCUACGGGGAAGGAGAGCACGUAAGUAAGACCGGAUGGGUUUCUUCGAUUCCACUUGGGUUUUUUUCUCAAGCAUAUCGGUUUUGCGCGUGUUGUGGUGGUGUGAGUUAGUCCCUUGAGGUUUUGAGAGUUUAAUCUUAGUGGAAGCAUGAUAUUUUAUAGGAUUUGGGGAUGAGAUGGUGGGUGGUAAAAAUAAAGAAAGGAGAAGGUCGUGACGAAUAAAAGGAUGAAGAAAGAUUUGAAGCUCGGGCAAAAUGAGAGGCCACCCAUCUUUAGAGCGUGACC